AUUGAACGCUGGCGGCAUGCCUUACACAUGCAAGUCGAACGGUAACGGGCCUUCGGGUGCCGACGAGUGGCGAACGGGUGAGUAAUACAUCGGAACGUGCCCGAUCGUGGGGGAUAACGAGGCGAAAGCUUUGCUAAUACCGCAUACGAUCUACGGAUGAAAGCCGGGGACCGCAAGGCCUUGCGCGGACGGAGCGGCCGAUGGCAGAUUAGGUAGUUGGUGGGAUAAAAGCUUACCAAGCCGACGAUCUGUAGCUGGUCUGAGAGGAUGAUCAGCCACACUGGGACUGAGACACGGCCCAGACUCCUACGGGAGGCAGCAGUGGGGAAUUUUGGACAAUGGGCGCAAGCCUGAUCCAGCCAUGCCGCGUGCAGGAUGAAGGCCUUCGGGUUGUAAACUGCUUUUGUACGGAACGAAAAGCCUUCUUUUAAUACAGGAGGGUCAUGACGGUACCGUAAGAAUAAGCACCGGCUAACUACGUG
rnacentral:rRNA from 1 species